CCUACGGGAGGCAGCAGUGGGGAAUAUUGCACAAUGGGGGAAACCCUGAUGCAGCGACGCCGCGUGAGUGAAGAAGUAUUUCGGUAUGUAAAGCUCUAUCAGCAGGGAAGAAGAUGACGGUACCUGACUAAGAAGCCCCGGCUAACUACGUGCCAGCAGCCGCGGUAAGACGUAGGGGGCAAGCGUUAUCCGGAUUUACUGGGUGGAAAGGGAGCGUAGACGGCAGCGCAAGUCUGAAGUGAAAUCCCAUGGCUUAACCAUGGAACUGCUUUGGAAUAUGUGCAGCUGGAGUGCAGGAGAGGUAAGCGGAAUUCCUAGUGUAGCGGUGAAAUGUGUAGAUAUUAGGAGGAACACCAGUGGCGAAGGCGGGUUACUGGACUGUAACUGACGUUGAGGCUCGAAAGCGUGGGGAGCAAACAGGAUUAGAUACCCUUGUAGUC
rnacentral:rRNA from 1 species